UAUGAUGAUCGUGAUGAUCGUUAUGAUGAUCGUGAUGAUUAUGAUGAUCACGAUGAUGAUGAUCGAUACGAUGAUGACAUUUAUGACGAAAUUGACGACGACAAGGGACGAUCUGACGAUAUCAAUGAUAGCGAUGAUGACGUCGUCAAUAUGCCGAUGCAGCUGUAUCACCGAUUGGCAAAAGGUAUCUCCUCUCGUAGACUUCAGCACAUAAAGAAACUGUUCAAAAUCAUACCGAACAAGGCCAAAGGACCCAUCUCAGGUAAACGGGCAUACUUUGAUAAGAAUAGUCCGAUCUACAGACGGAUAAGAACAAAGAAAAUUAACAGAAGCAAAAACGCCGUGAAGGCAGAUUGGGAUGGCAAGUAUGUGUAGACGCCAAAAGAUACUGAAUCAGAGGCGCCGAAGGAUACUGAAUCAGAGGCGCCGAAGGAUACUGAAUUAGAGGCACCGAAGGAUACUGAGUCAGAGGCGCCGAAGGAUACUGAAUCAGAGGCGCCGAAGGAUACUGAGUCAGAGGCGCCGAAGGAUACUCAACCAGAUGGUUCGGUGACGGAAUAAAAUACUUCAAUUCAUGUUAAGAAUAUUUCACAAGAUAUUGUUUUCUACUUUUGCUUGGCCACAAUGCCAUUUGUAAACAGGAAGUAUCAAGGGUGCAUUUUCCUUCCGCAACUCUCCUUGCACCUGUAAGGUUGGCUUUUAACAUUCGACAUUCCAAUACAUACCAGUGAUUUGAGUUUGUUGCUGUUGAAAGAACGCAUCCAUGAUUCUUUGUACGCUGAAAAUGGACAUUGUUUAUUUAUUAUUUAAUUUUUUACAAAUACAGUAUGAAUUUAAAUGAA